CGCCAAUCUUGUGGGUCUUGUGAUGUGAUAUGAAAUAAUUUACGUGUAAAACAGGAAUAUUACAGCUGAAUCCAAUUGAUCUGUUGGUGGUAAAGAAGAAAAUAAGGGUGAAGCACCCUAGUGGUGACCUCUGACCCGCCACGCUUCCAUCUCCAGGGUUGGGUCAGUCAUCCUAGGCGUUCUUCUUAUACUGCAGGAAGUGUGCUUGUCGGAAAGUCCCAGGAUAGGAUUACGAGGUCUCAUCAAAGAGGCGUACCUGACGUGUGAGAAAUUGGAACGUGGAGAUCGUGGUGGUUGCUGACAGAAUCGGCGACGAGGGUAAAGACCGCUUCAUCGUUAUUCUACGACACUGAAUCAUCUGACGACGACUGCUGCCUGUCCAGUGUACCGCGGUCUUCGGUGUUAAGCCCACGGACUUCACAGGAACAAGAAAGAUGCUGUGUGUGUGUGUCUGUACGUACCCCGCAAGCCUCAUUGAACGAGGCUCUCCUGUGCUCUGCUGCUAGAAAUUUCAAGACGUCACUCAGAUGUAUAUAUUGCCAUGCUGUCUUCAUCGUCUGGGUUCUAUCAAUAUACCAGCUCAUUUGCCGUGGACGAUUUAACAGUGCCGUAUGGUGAGUACAUUUGUAGCCUUUGUUUUGAGUGCAUGCGUAAAUAAUUUCCUUUAAGUGCGUGAUAAAUGUAAGUACUAAUUCUGGAUAUCUUAUUAUUGUUAGAUUAUACGUUAGAGCUGAUUGUUGCUGAAGUUCUC